GAGUCCAAGGGAUAUUGUCCUGAAAUGAAUGUCAGAAGUGCCACAGGCAGAUGCUUUCAGGGCAGUUUAUUUCCCUGCCCUGGGGAGCAGGGAGCGGGUCAGGUCUCUUCCCAUCAGUGAAGGGCAGGAACAAAGCUUGGCAAUGAAAGGCAAUUUCUCCUAACCCAGUGGGCCAGCACAAUGUGAGCAUCUGACUAAGCCAAUAAAUUUAUUGAGGAGAUAAACUGGACUAAACAAUCCCCAGGUUCUGCAUGAAGGAUGGUGUUACAGCACAGCCACACUGACCAUGUCCCCUUCUUCCCACAAUAUGCCUUGAAAUUUAUCACCCAGUUGUGAGCUUUAGCUGUGUAAAUCCCCAGUGAAUUGAUGGGAAAAGAGAAUCUGGCUGAGGUUUAUAUGGAGGGUCUCAAACCCUUAAAUGCUGGCGGCAGUGUGGUCCCCAUAAAGCUGGGCCUCGGGGAAUUUAUUUACUCAGGGGGAGCUGGGACAUGGAAAACUGGACUGAAGCAAGUGGGAGCUCAGAGCUGAGCAGCUGAACUGGAAUGCCAUGAUUUCUGUGGGGUGCACAGCCAUUUUCACUUGAUGAAAUAAACUGGGCUCCUGGAAGAUCUGAAAAGCGGCUGUUAGAGGUUUCUGUCUAAGAGCUUGCAAGUUUUUGCAUUUCUUCUGAAGAGAAAUUUACACUCAGAAAAUUAAAGGAUCUACAAAGUGAUGUUUUCUGAAGCAAAAUCUGCCAUUAUGGGUAUGUUAAGCACUUGCACUGAGCAUCUGAGCUAAACAGCAUCUCCUGACUGACAAAGCCGUCACCCGCUAAAAGCAACUGUUAUAAAAUUAUGACUAGAACAUAUAUAAUGUUUGUGUUUAACAAGAUGACAGAAAAGCCACCUUAGUAAAAACUGAUUAUGGUUACAGCUGAACAAUUCACAUCAUGCAAGAUUUAUAAUAUUAAGGUUAUGCAAUCAUCUAAUCGGAGAGACAAGCCUUGAGUAAUAAUAUGAAAUGCAUGUACUUCAAUCUGCAGCAGUGGAUUCAUUGCUGUUUUCUUAUUAGCUCAUGCCAGCAUUAGGGCUGCAUUAUCCAUUUCACCAUAGUCUAAUUCAGCAUUUCCAUCUGAAAACAUAUGCACAAUAAGUGAUCUAUGCCAAACAGGGAAAUGGAGACAAAGCCAUUUGAGUGACUUCACGGCUAU